AGCUCGAGUUGAGGGCAUCAAGAACAUACCGAGGGCCCAAACCAGUGUCCGAUUGGACUUACAAGAAUGCUGUUGUAGUUGCCUGACUACUACUGUGUUCUCUAAAGGUUUUCUGGAAGCUUGAGUUGAGGGCAUCAAGAACAUACCGAUGGUCCAAAUCAGUGUCAGCCUGGACAGACAUCCAUUGCAGUUCUUCUACACCACACCAAUCUCUACUUUUGUAUGGCUGCCUGACUACUAUGCUGUUCCUUGAAGGUAUUACUGGAGCAAAACAACAACAGUGAAAUUUGUGGUUAUAAAGCAUUGUGAUGUAUGUGUUACAGGUCCAGUACAUUUGUCAAAGUUUAAGUCAAAAAAGAAAAAAACAACUUGUUUGCCUCUGACACAACAGGUUAGGGUGUGCGCUUGCUACUCGUAGUAAACACAAACCCUGAUCUGAUGCAAGAGAGAUGUAGGCAAACAAAUUAGUAUUUACCGUUUUGUUUUCCCUCACUAAAGUGUUGUUAGAGCUUGGUAUGCUCACAGUUGAACCACUAAAGUCACAAAAUUUUUUCCCUACUUUGACUGUCUCAAGACCAUAGCUGUCUCUGGAGGAUGAGGAGCUCUCAUAUUUCAUCCUAGUUUGUGUUCUGAAGAUGAACAGGUCUCUGGGAAUUGUAAUGAUACAAGAGAGUAACAACAAAAUUCAUGUUUCUGGGUGAAUUGACACUUAAUGUGAAAAAUAUUUUAAGACCACAGUGACCCCUGGCAAUAACAGCAUCAACUUAAACAUGCAAUUUUAAUUAUACUAAUAAUACUUAAUAACAAACUGCUAUUA
rnacentral:lncRNA from 1 species